UUAGAGUUUGAUCCUGGCUCAGGAUGAACGCUGGCGGCGUGCCUAAUACAUGCAAGUCGAGCGAAUGGAUUAAGAGCUUGCUCUUAUGAAGUUAGCGGCGGACGGGUGAGUAACACGUGGGUAACCUGCCCAUAAGACUGGGAUAACUCCGGGAAACCGGGGCUAAUACCGGAUAACAUUUUGAACUGCAUGGUUCGAAAUUGAAAGGCGGCUUCGGCUGUCACUUAUGGAUGGACCCGCGUCGCAUUAGCUAGUUGGUGAGGUAACGGCUCACCAAGGCAACGAUGCGUAGCCGACCUGAGAGGGUGAUCGGCCACACUGGGACUGAGACACGGCCCAGACUCCUACGGGAGGCAGCAGUAGGGAAUCUUCCGCAAUGGACGAAAGUCUGACGGAGCAACGCCGCGUGAGUGAUGAAGGCUUUCGGGUCGUAAAACUCUGUUGUUAGGGAAGAACAANGUGCCUAGUUGAAUAAGCUGGC
rnacentral:rRNA from 1 species